AUUAACGCUGGCGGCGCACAUAAGACAUGCAAGUCGAACGGAAGUCGUUAUAACUCAGAACGAAGAUUUAUCUGAGGGACGAGAUAUAACAAUGGCUUUAGUGGCGGACUGGUGAGUAACACGUAAGAAACCUGCCUAUUAGAGGGGAAUAACAACGAGAAAUCGUUGCUAAUACCGCAUAAGCUAGUAGUACCGCAUGGUACAGCUAGAAAAGGAGAAAUCCGCUAAUAGAUGGUCUUGCGUCCGAUUAGCUAGUUGGUGGGGUAACGGCCUACCAAGGCAACGAUCGGUAGCCGAGCUGAGAGGCUCAACGGCCACAUUGGGACUGAGAUACGGCCCAGACUCCUACGGGAGGCAGCAGUCGGGAAUAUUGCGCAAUGGAGGAAACUCUGACGCAGUGACGCCGCGUAUAGGAAGAAGGUUUUCGGAUUGUAAACUAUUUUAGACAGGGAAGAAAAUGACAGUACCUGUAGAAUAAGCUCCGGCUAACUACGUGCCAGCAGCCGCGGUAAUACGUAGGGAGCAAGCGUUAUCCGGAUUUAUUGGGUGUAAAGGGUGCGUAGACGGGAGAACAAGUUAGUUGUGAAAGCCCUCGGCUUAACUGAGGAACUGCAACUAAAACUAUUUUUCUUGAGUGCAGGAGAGGAAAGCGGAAUUCCUAGUGUAGCGGUGAAAUGCGUAGAUAUUAGGAGGAACACCAGUGGCGAAGGCGGCUUUCUGGACUGUAACUGACGUUGAGGCACGAAAGUGUGGGGAGCAAACAGGAUUAGAUACCCUGGUAGUCCACACCGUAAACGAUGGAUACUAGGUGUAGGAGAUGAUUUCAUCAUCUGUGCCGAAAGCAAACGCAAUAAGUAUCCCACCUGGGGAGUACGGCCGCAAGGUUGAAACUCAAAGGAAUUGACGGGGGCCCGCACAAGCAGUGGAGUAUGUGGUUUAAUUCGAAGCAACGCGAAGAACCUUACCAGGUCUUGACAUCCUUCUGACCGCACCUUAAUCGGUGCUUUCCUUCGGGACAGAAGAGACAGGUGGUGCAUGGUUGUCGUCAGCUCGUGUCGUGAGAUGUUGGGUUAAGUCCCGCAACGAGCGCAACCCCUAUUGUUAGUUGCUACGCAAGAGCACUCUAGCGAGACUGCCGUUGACAAAACGGAGGAAGGUGGGGACGACGUCAAAUCAUCAUGCCCUUUAUGUCCUGGGCAACACACGUACUACAAUGGUCGUAACAGAGAGAGGCAAAGCAGUGAUGCAGAGCAAAACUUAAAAAGCGACCUCAGUUCGGAUUGAAGGCUGAAAUUCGCCUUCAUGAAGUCGGAAUUGCUAGUAAUGGCAGGUCAGCAUACUGCCGUGAAUACGUUCCCGGGCCUUGUACACACCGCCCGUCACACCAUGAGAGUUGGAGAUACCCGAAGCCUAUGAGCUAACUAUUAGAGGCAGUAGUCGAAGGUAGAAUCAAUGAUUGGGGUG
rnacentral:rRNA from 1 species